GGACUUUCUAGUUACCAUGUGUGUCCCUCCCGAAGCUGCGCGCUCGGUGGAAGAGGACGACCAUCCCAGAUCGAAGGAGUGUACCCUUCUUCAGUCAAGGGUAUACGAGAGCUGCGCUCCCCUGCUCGAAGCUGCAAACCCCUGAAGGUCCAUUUGUAGGAGAACGUAGGGUAGUCCAGCUUCCAAGACUCCAGACACAUCCAAGUAAGGCAAUGGUGCACUAUGUCUCAAAU